CGAAACUAUCGGAGGAGCAG
rnacentral:misc_RNA from 1 species